rnacentral:rRNA from 1 species
UUCCGGUUGAUCCUGCCGGACCCGACAGCUAUCAGAGUGGGACUAAGCCAUGCGAGUCAACAUAGCAAUAUGUGGCGAACGGCUCAGUAACACGUAGUCAACAUGCCCAGGGGACGUGGAUAACCUCGGGAAACUGAGGAUAAACCGCGAUAAGUCACUGCUUCUGGAAUGGGCAAUGACUUAAAUCUAUAUGGCCCCUGGAUUGGACUGCGGCCGAUCAGGCUGUUGGUGAGGUAAUGGCCCACCAAACCUGUAACCGGUACGGGCUCUGAGAGGAGGAGCCCGGAGAUGGGCACUGAGACAAGGGCCCAGGCCCUAUGGGGCGCAGCAGGCGCGAAACCUCUGCAAUAGGCGAAAGCCUGACAGGGUUACUCUGAGUGAUUUCCGUUAAGGAGAUCUUUUGGCACCUCUAAAAAUGGUGCAGAAUAAGGGGUGGGCAAGUCUGGUGUCAGCCGCCGCGGUAAUACCAGCACCCCAAGUGGUCGGGACGAUUAUUGGGCCUAAAGCAUCCGUAGCCGGUUCUGCAAGUCUUCCGUUAAAUCCAGCCGCUCAACGGAUGGGCCGCGGAGGAUACUACAGGACUAGGAGGCGGGAGAGGCAAGCGGUACUCAGUGGGUAGGGGUAAAAUCCUUUGAUCCAUUGAAGACCACCAGUGGCGAAGGCGGCUUGCCAGAACGCGCUCGACGGUGAGGGAUGAAAGCUGGGGGAGCAAACCGGAUUAGAUACCCGGGUAGUCCCAG